rnacentral:rRNA from 1 species
UACGUAGGGGGCGAGCGUUGUCCGGAGUUACUGGGCGUAAAGAGCGUGUAGGCGGUUGAAAAAGUCAGGUGUGAAAUUCUUCGGCUCAACCGAGGGACUGCGCCUGAAACUUUUCGACUGGAGUUCGGGAGGGGCAACUGGAAUCCCCGGUGUAACGGUGAAAUGUGUAGAUAUCGGGGGGAACACCUGUGGCGAAGGCGGGUGACUGGACCAAAACUGACGCUGAGACGCGAAAGCGUGGGUAGCAAACAGG